UGGCAAGUCGAACGAACUCUGGUAUUGAUUGGUGCUUGCAUCAUGAUUUACAUUUGAGUGAGUGGCGAACUGGUGAGUAACACGUGGGAAACCUGCCCAGAAGCGGGGGAUAACACCUGGAAACAGAUGCUAAUACCGCAUAACAACUUGGACCGCAUGGUCCGAGCUUGAAAGAUGGCUUCGGCUAUCACUUUUGGAUGGUCCCGCGGCGUAUUAGCUAGAUGGUGGGGUAACGGCUCACCAUGGCAAUGAUACGUAGCCGACCUGAGAGGGUAAUCGGCCACAUUGGGACUGAGACACGGCCCAAACUCCUACGGGAGGCAGCAGUAGGGAAUCUUCCACAAUGGACGAAAGUCUGAUGGAGCAACGCCGCGUGAGUGAAGAAGGGUUUCGGCUCGUAAAACUCUGUUGUUAAAGAAGAACAUAUCUGAGAGUAACUGUUCAGGUAUUGACGGUAUUUAACCAGAAAGCCACGGCUAACUACGUGCCAGCAGCCGCGGUAAUACGUAGGUGGCAAGCGUUGUCCGGAUUUAUUGGGCGUAAAGCGAGCGCAGGCGGUUUUUUAAGUCUGAUGUGAAAGCCUUCGGCUCAACCGAAGAAGUGCAUCGGAAACUGGGAAACUUGAGUGCAGAAGAGGACAGUGGAACUCCAUGUGUAGCGGUGAAAUGCGUAGAUAUAUGGAAGAACACCAGUGGCGAAGGCGGCUGUCUGGUCUGUAACUGACGCUGAGGCUCGAAAGUAUGGGUAGCAAACAGGAUUAGAUACCCUGGUAGUCCAUACCGUAAACGAUGAAUGCUAAGUGUUGGAGGGUUUCCGCCCUUCAGUGCUGCAGCUAACGCAUUAAGCAUUCCGCCUGGGGAGUACGGCCGCAAGGCUGAAACUCAAAGGAAUUGACGGGGGCCCGCACAAGCGGUGGAGCAUGUGGUUUAAUUCGAAGCUACGCGAAGAACCUUACCAGGUCUUGACAUACUAUGCAAAUCUAAGAGAUUAGACGUUCCCUUCGGGGACAUGGAUACAGGUGGUGCAUGGUUGUCGUCAGCUCGUGUCGUGAGAUGUUGGGUUAAGUCCCGCAACGAGCGCAACCCUUAUUAUCAGUUGCCAGCAUUAAGUUGGGCACUCUGGUGAGACUGCCGGUGACAAACCGGAGGAAGGUGGGGAUGACGUCAAAUCAUCAUGCCCCUUAUGACCUGGGCUACACACGUGCUACAAUGGAUGGUACAACGAGUUGCGAACUCGCGAGAGUAAGCUAAUCUCUUAAAGCCAUUCUCAGUUCGGAUUGUAGGCUGCAACUCGCCUACAUGAAGUCGGAAUCGCUAGUAAUCGCGGAUCAGCAUGCCGCGGUGAAUACGUUCCCGGGCCUUGUACACACCGCCCGUCACACCAUGAGAGUUUGUAACACCCAAAGUCGGUGGGGUAACCUUUUAGGAACCAGCCCGCC
rnacentral:rRNA from 2 species